AUCAUCGCUGUUACUAUCACCACCACCACUGCUACCACCAUUACCAUCAAAUGGGCUGCUGAUGUCCCCAGGUGACAAAUCUGCUCCGAGAGUGAUUGGCGGGCGGAGCACGGUCAGGCGGACUUGGACCGGGGGUGUUCUCUGCACCGGAUGAAGCGCGCCUCUCAUGUCGGGAUCAACAGCGCACGCGAGUACUUGCUGCCGGUAAGAUCAAAAUUCAGAAUUUUGGAAAACUGGUGAUGCCGUGGUGAGCCUGCUUCCCCCACGCUUAAAGACUUGACGUUGAUGGUGAGAUUAAUGAGGUGAGGUUUUGAUGUUGUGUGAUGACGUGUGACAAAGCUUGUCAUCAGUCCAUGAACCAAAUGCUGGAGACGCCAUGUUUGAAAAUCACACGUGGGUCAGAGACCCGUCCGGAGGGGUCACUCCUGGUGGUGAGCACCGAGGGAGGCCUAGAAUGGAGGGACAGCUCUGUGCAGACCCAAAGCCGACAGCGUUGUGUGUUCGCUGGACUUCAGGAAAAAAAGAAAAAGGAACAAAGUGCCAGGCAGACCAAUGGAUUUUAUGUAACCAAGAAAAAGAAAGUUCAUCAACACUUUUUCAGAUUCCACAGAGGGUUCUCAAGCGCUACCACUUGUCAGCUUUUGUGCAGUGCCAGGAAGUGAUCCGAAAGGCCGAUUAAAUCCUCUGUCUUCUAGCUACGGAUCCAUGAGGCACGGUUUGCCUUCGUGUACUUCAAGCAAGCGAUCCACUGCAACAGAUUGAGUCUAUUAACCCAGACGGUAGAGGGAUCUGCGGAAAUAUGACCCCUCUCUUUUCACUGAUUAUUUUGAAAUUGCAAAGGUGUUAUUUAUACUAACAUGUGAGACAUCUGUCAUUGUGUUUAAUAAAUUGAUAACGGCUCUAAA